GUUUUUAAAAAAAUCAUCAAAAAGGAAAAAUCUGAAAACAGGGCAGCUUCCAGAAAAGUUAUUUUUAUAUAUGCACAUAAUAUCAUACAACUGAACAAAAAUUAUCACUUUGAAUCUCAACAGCAGCACAGAAAACAUGAUGACAAAGAAGCGCUACUUUCACAAAAUGAUUCCUAGUCCUUAAAGUCUACACGGAAACGAUCAAGCAAAAGUCAACA